rnacentral:rRNA from 1 species
CACGUAGGGCGCAAGCGUUGUCCGGAAUUAUUGGGCGUAAAGGGCUCGUAGGCGGUCUGUCACGUCAGGAGUGAAAACUCGGGGCUCAACCCCGAGCCUGCUUCUGAUACGGGCAGACUGGAGGUAUGCAGGGGAGAACGGAAUUCCUGGUGUAGCGGUGAAAUGCGCAGAUAUCAGGAGGAACACCGGUGGCGAAGGCGGUUCUCUGGGCAUUACCUGACGCUGAGGAGCGAAAGUGUGGGGAGCGAACAGG